rnacentral:lncRNA from 1 species
UUCUGACUUCAACUGUAGUAACAUCUGUUCAGUCCACAGUGAUGAAGAAGAAAAUGAUGUACUACAACAUGCAUGUGAGACCGGCCAGAGGAACCUGGCAGAGAACCAGGCCAAUCUGCUGUAGAAUAAGAGGAAUCUCUUACAGCUGCCAGAGACAGGCCAGAGGAACCUGGCAGAGAACCAGGCCAAUCUGCUGUAGAAUAAGAGGAAUCUCUUACAGCUGCCAGAGGACAGGCCAGAGGAACCUGGCAGAGAACCAGGCCAAUCUGCUGUAGAACAAGAGGAAUCUCAACUAUGCCCUCAGAAAUGUCAGUACAACGGUAUGCCUUCAAAAAUAGACUUUUGAUACGUUUGUCUUUAAUUUACAGUGGUGCUUAUUAUGAUUGUUGUGUUGGUGUCUUGAGCAGCUGGAGUGUGAGCUGUCUGAGGUGCAGGCCCUGUGCCGGAAGUCAGCCCGUACCUGGGAGAAUGGACUGUCCUUGCUGAGUGAGGGCUCUGGACCGCAGUGACACCCGUGCUAAUAUUACCCACGACCCCGGCCUGGAAUCCUCUCCAAGCUAGAUGCCCUGUAGUCCAUGACCUGACAAAUUUAGGCCUUUCUGAGGGCAAAAGGGGGUGCAACUCAAUAUUAGGAAGUGUUCCUAAUGUUUUGUACACUCAGCGUACAUGGAUAAUGGAUUAGACCUCCAAGAAAGAUCUUUGAGUUUAGAAUACAGUCUGAUUUUGCAUUGUUGUUUACAUGUAAGCUUUCUAUUGGCACGUAGAUAAUCAAGUGUAAAAAGUAGAGUUAUUUUGCCUUGUUUUACAGGUAUGAGUCCUGGUACCUGCGGGACUUGACCCAAUCCACCAACAGGAACGAGCUGAUGAUCCACUUUCUGCUGAUGGAGCUUGAAACAGUGGGGAAUAUUUGGUUUGAAGAAGGCUACUCUACCGACCCCUGGUACAAAUGAACUCC